GAGCUUUGUUAUUGUGCAACGAAAACCAACAACCACAUAUUUUUGUCGUGCUCAUUUGCUACUAGGAUAUGGUUUUGACUAAAAUCUAUUUUUCAUUCUCAAAUUGAUACUAGUUCAAUUUCAAUAUCUUCUUGCCAUUUGUUACACGUUGGUCUCCUCAAUGCAAAAAAUGUUAUUUUAUUCAUCAUCAUCUUUACUAUUGACACUAUUUGGUAUUGCAAGAAUCAAAUCUACUUUGAAGGAACUUUAAAUUCUCAAGUCCUUCUAGAUUAAAAUUCAUCCUCCUAAGACUCCUACCAUCAAGGAAGUGAUUUGUUAUCCUCUCAAAGAUUGGAUAAAUGUAAUACUCAUAAAGUUGCUUAUGAAUGUUCUGACCAUGCUGCUUGCGAAAGUAUUUUUAGGGACAAUUAUGUUGCUUCCAUGGAUUGUUACGUUGUGAAUUUGACCAUUACAACUAUA